rnacentral:lncRNA from 1 species
CGCCACCACCAUCGCCGCCUUCGCCAGGAUGACCGUCGAAGAUUCUAGAAAGAUCUUGCCGCCUCAGUUCUACCCUUCCUGGGUCGUUUUCUCUUCCAGCCAGAAGUUGAGCUUUCUUCUCUCAACACGCACUUUCUUUUAUCUCAUCGUGUCAAAUUCGGUCUUGAACUCACGCUGUUGUGAUGUUGUUUUCAGUUGACAUGGCUUAACUCGCAUCUCACCAAGAUCUGGCCCUUUGUUAAUGAGGUAGCUCGUGGUUUAUGCUUCAGAUGUGGCUUUCUUGGUGGUUGUUCAUUUCUUUUUUGUUAUUUUUUUCAUGUGUCGGUUUUGCUAGGCCGCUUCUGAGCUCAUAAAGACGUCG